UCACAGUCUUCAUUGUUUACAAGUGAAUCAAAUGCCUUAUAUAACAGCACCAUUUGCUAGAGAUUCUAGAAAGGGUUAAAACAAUAAAGUACAAGAGAUGCUUUCUGGCUCACCACAGCUAGCCUUUAAUGAUGUGCAGUUUUCUCAGAUGGGAGUUGUUUAUCAUGUACAGUAGUCCAGUUUAUUCUCCUCUCUAACAGUGAUGUUUUUGUCUUCAAAUUAUACUACACUGCCUUUAUGAUGAAUUAGGGUGGAUUACAAUCUUUCAAUGCUAAACAGGUUGUAUGCUAAUCUCUAAGAAGACUGACAAUGGAAAUCAGUACAGAAAACAUUGCCCUUGGUGACCACUCCCGCUCUGAAUCCAAAGAUCUUUUAACUAGUCGAAAAGGGAGUACUAUAUACAGCAGCUGCAGAAGCAUAUCCAUCUGGACGUCAGACACCAGAAGUGUGUGGGAUGUGUACUACAAGUCCAUCAUACUCAUGUCUGUUGGGGGAGCUAUAUUCCUCUUUUCACUCAUAUUAAUCCUGGUAUACUCCUUAGGGUUCUUCCAAAUGUUCUGUAAAGUAUUCGGACCUGUCUGUUUCUCUACUGGGCUAAUGCUUCUGAUAAUUGGAUUAGUCUGGAUUCCCAUUACAUGGGAAAAAAGAAAAAAGAAGACUGUGUCGAGGCUUUUUACUAUUCACAAACCUUCUUUCUUCCACUUGUAAAAUGUUAUUUACUGCAAACAGCAGGCACAGUGCAACAUCUAACCUGAAAAAGCAGUCAUUAAGAAGGAAUGCUUCAAAGAACUGAUAACAGUAGUUAGCAUUUCUCUUCAUUCAUGGAUGUUUUGUUAACAAUCAGAUUAUAUAAUCACGAAUAAGAAUUUAUCAGUCAUAUUUCUGGAAAACAGUAUACUUCUCAGUGAGGGUCCAGAAAGCAAAUUUCACUAAAAACGUAUUAAAUGCGGGUGAGGGUGAGGCAUAUUUAAUACGUCUUAAAAAGAUUAUGGACAGCAAGUACUGUGUAUGUAGAGAUUACUGAUUAUUGAUAUGAAGUAGUCUGAAGCCCAUUUCACUAAUUACAUAACUAAAUGAGUAUGGCCUCAAUUAAGUUAAUGAGUAUGAGAAAAUGUCAGAGGUUGCAGUGAAACUUUGUGCAUUUUUUGGGCAUGUCCUCAUAGUUAUAUUUCAUGGACAAUUCCUUGCAUCAAGUUUAUAAAACAGUGCUCCACUCACUGUUUAAUAGUUAAGUGUCUGUGUAGCCAUAAGUAAGCAGCUAAACAAUUGAUUAUUGUAUUAGCACAUUUAUCCAUGGAGGGACAUGCAAACUAUCAGGACAUAAAGUGUCAUUUAAUACUUUGUCUCCUUCUCCUCCCAUUCUGCAAAUGAUAUUAUGGAAAAAGAACUGAAAGCAAUUAUACUAUACACAGCUAAAACUUUCUAACCUACCUAUAUUAUGAUCUUAGGAGAAGACAUUCUACAUAUACAUUGUAUAUUUCAGGUCUGAUUCAUUCAUCUGCUGCUGUUUAUCAAAUGCAGAUAAAUUAUCUGUCAUAUGUUUUAAUCAUGAAUGUUUAAUAUGAAUCUGUUAUAGGCAUUUAUAAAAGAAGCCUUCAUGUGAAUAAAUGCAGAUGCAAAAUGCUUUAAAUAUUUA